AGGUAACUUCAUUCAAUAAUUAAUGUUGUUAAUGAAUUUUCAGCUUUAAAUAUCAGUAACACUUUGUAAUAUGAUGAUACAAUACAUGUGGACCUUCGUGAAUCGGAGAGGAAUAAAGAAGGAGAAAAAGAGAGCAAAAUGGAUGAGUUGGACUCCGCUGUGGCAGAAGAGGAAAAAAAGAAGAAAAGAAGGAUGGAGAAAAAGAAAUGGAAGAAGAUAAGAGCCAAGAAGAAAGUAGAAAAGAAGCAGCUGCAGAGGUUGAAAAAGAAGCAGCAGCAG
rnacentral:lncRNA from 1 species